UUGAGUUUGGUACGCACUGCUUGAAGGCUGGGUAUGACUAUAUGAUUGUUUUUUUUUUUUUUUCUCUCCCAGUUUGAACACAUUAAUUGGCAGAAGUUUCCCCUGUGAUCUUCCAGUACAACAUUCUUCCUGCAGCCACACCUGACCAGUGGGAGGACUGACUAAAUUCUUCAUCCUCUCCAUCCCAUGCCUUUACGUCUGCUGUGUCUCCCACGUGUUCGUGGAUCGUGCCUGAGGCUGGGACAGACAACUCACAACCAUGAAGAAAAGGCAAAGAGAAUCACAAAGAUGCCAGCCCAACGCUGGGAAGCUACUAGCCUACACCAAUGCUAACAACCAUCCAUUUAUGACUUCUUGUCAUGUGAGGAGAAUGAACCUUCUGUGUGUUACUGUGAAGAUGAAAGGAGAUGAUGUGUGUAACACUCACAGACUGGGACCCAGGAUGUAUGCAUCAGAUUUUAGGGAAACAUUGGUCUUCUUUCUCACCAUGGUUCAAGGUCUUGGGAUGCCUCCAAGACACGCUGACAAAAAGUCCCAUGAUUUUGUAGCUUAGUGUGUUGUGCCACAAAAAAGCCUUCAAAAUUAUUAAAAUAAGUUUUCCCAUAACAAAAUAAGGGAUCUACAACUAAAUAGAAGUAUUAAUGAUUAUUUAAUACUUCAGAAAGAAUGAAAGAGAGGAGAGAUUUUCUAUACUUGGGGUCUAUGAAAUUCCCUUCUAUCCAUUAAAAAAAUAAAGAACUUUUAAAACAAGGUUGAAUAUGUUCCUCUUCUUCAUAACCAAGGUUCUCUAAGACAGAAAUAUUAACAGCAGAAAAAAUAUUGUGUUGAGAUUAAAUUAAGAAAAAUAUACAUAUAUAUGUACUUUUUUCCCCAGUUCAAAGGACGAUAAAAAAUAAACUACAUAUAUAUACCCCACAUAGAUAUAUAAAUAGUUAGAUAAAUAUAGAGAUAUAGAUAAUCUACUUUCAUGAUUUAUAAUAAGGACACAGAAAAAGGCUGGGAUGGCAGUGGGGAAUGAGCAGAGUCUGAAUUUCUGUACUCCAGCAUAGCACUUACACUAUGAGAAACAGUAUUAGCUAGAGCUAUGUUAGUGCAAUUGUUAAAAGCUCUGUAUUUUACAUGAAAACUUGAGCCAUUGAAAAUAACAGAAUUAGCUAGAACUGGCAUCAAGCCUUAAUGCCAGAAUGUAACCAGUCCACAGAGGUAGGAAGAUGUUCUUAGGCAGGGACCCAAAAAGAGGACUGACACAUAAUAAAGGAUCAGGAUAAUACAAGGCUAAUAAAAAAGAGAAAAGGGACUGAUGCUUUGCUAUUUCUGAGUAAGGAAUUCUUCUAGAUUCUUAGUGAGAAGGAAUUAAGGUAAAGCCAAAGCGAUACGUAGUAUUUAUGCUUUGUUGUAUAUAUUAUGGUUUAUGCAGCUUUUAAAUAAACUAUAUGUAGUUCAUUCUGUCUACGAUGGUAGCAAUAAUAGCUAUUAUUUAUUGAUGUCUUAUUAUAUACUUGAUGUUCAGCGAGGUAUUACAUAUGUCCACAUCUCUUUGCUCACAUGACUCCAAGCUGGCAUAGGCCUCUUCCCUGCAUCCAUCCUUCCAAGAGCAGAAAGCGUAUACCUGCUGGUGUAUGCUCCUUCAUUUCAAGGAGUUGCAAAGGAGUCUUAUAUAUAAAAGUGUGGAUGGAGCUUGGACAUGUGGGUGGAGGUGUCCAUUGGCAUAUGAACUGAGGCCCUUUGUAGUAUGGAUGGGAAGAGACAGAAGGUGGGCUGGGGGCUGGUUCUCCUACACUGCCACAGUCCAUCAUUAAACUUUGAAGAGUCCAAUAAUUCUAAACUAGAACCAUACCAUCUGGGUUUUAAUGAAAUUUGUCAAAGGUGGUAAGGGAUAAAAAAGACUUUAUUUAACAGUUAGCUUGAUUUUUAUAACCAUGAAGUAUUUAGCCAUAGGACACACGGUCCUCUAUUUGUACCCUUUUUCGGGGACUAUAAAUUCAGAGGUAGGUUUAGCACCUAGCACAGUGUCUG
rnacentral:lncRNA from 10 species